rnacentral:rRNA from 1 species
AACGAACGCUGGCGGCAGGCUUAACACAUGCAAGUCGAACGAUAUAGUGGCAGACGGGUGAGUAACGCGUGGGAAUUUACCUAUCGGUACGGAACAGCUCAGGGAAACUUGGAUUAAUACCGUAUACGCCCUUUGGGGGAAAGAUUUAUCGCCGAUAGAUAAGCCCGCGUUGGAUUAGCUAGUUGGUGUGGUAAAGGCUCACCAAGGCGACGAUCCAUAGCUGGUCUGAGAGGAUGAUCAGCCACACUGGGACUGAGACACGGCCCAG